GCCUCUGAUGAAACCUAUGUUGGUAGUGACAUCUGACAGUGUUAAUGAGAAUGCCAACUGCUCUGAUGAA
ensembl:snoRNA